CUUGAAGGAUUAACUUCUGCAUCUAUUUGUAAGGCACCAGUCACCAGAAGCAGCUGCUUUGUGAGUGACUUGGGACGUCGUUGCAACUAUUUGGUCUGGAGAAAAGCAGUCGGUGCUCUUCAUGAGGUGGGCCCAGUGACGUAACAACAGAGGAAUCGGACACCACUUGCAGGCAACAUGUACCCGAAAUAGGAGAGAGCCCAAUGUGUCCUCUGGUACCAGGAGGCACAGUCACCAAAAACAGUCCAGAGAAAAUUCCAGAUUGACUUCUUGGGACUUCUACAGGUUAACAGUAGGCCACCUAACCAUGAAAAGGGAAAGAGAAAGUGUAGCAUCAAAU